rnacentral:rRNA from 1 species
ACGAACGCUGGCGGCGUGCUUCACACAUGCCAGUCGAACGGAAAGGCCCAGCUUGCUGGGUGCUCGAGUGGCGAACGGGUGAGUAACACGUGGGUGAUCUGCCCCUAACUUCGGGAUAAGCUUGGGAAACUGGGUCUAAUACCGGAUAGGACAAUCGUUUAGUGUCGGUUGUGGAAAGUUUUUUCGGUUAGGGAUGAGCCCGCGGCCUAUCAGCUUGUUGGUGGGGUAAUGGCCUACCAAGGCGUCGACGGGUAGCCGGGCUGAGAGGGUGGACGGCCACAUUGGGACUGAGAUACGGCCCAGACUCCUACGGGAGGCAGCAGUGGGGAAUAUUGCACAAUGGGCGCAAGCCUGAGGCAGCGACGCCGCGUGGGGGAUGACGGCCUUCGGGUUGUAAACCUCUUUCGACAGGGACGAAGCUUUGGUGACGGUACCUGUAUAAGAAGCACCGGCUAACUAC